rnacentral:rRNA from 1 species
UACGGAGGGUGCAAGCAUUAAUCGGAUUUAUUGGGCGUAAAGGGCGCGUAGGCGGGGGUGCAAGUCAGAUGCGAAAUCCCGGGGCUCAACCUCGGAACAGCAUGUGAGACUGCGCAUCUUGAGGAUAGGAGGAGAAAACGGGAUUCCACAAGUAGCGGUGAAAUGCGUAGAUAUGUGGAAGAACACCAGUGGCGAAGGCGGUUUUCUAUCUUAAACCUGACGCUGAGGCGCGAAAGCAAGGGGAGCAAACAGG